UACGUAGGGUGCGAGCGUUGUCCGGAAUUACUGGGCGUAAAGAGCUCGUAGGCGGUUUGUCGCGUCGUUCGUGAAAACUCACAGCUUAACUGUGGGCGUGCGGGGGAUACGGGCAGACUGGAGUACUGCAGGGGAGACUGGAAUUCCUGGUGUAGCGGUGAAAUGCGCAGAUAUCAGGAGGAACACCGGUGGCGAAGGCGAGUCUCUGGGCAGUAACUGACGCUGAGGAGCGAAAGCGUGGGGAGCAAACAGG
rnacentral:rRNA from 1 species